ACGUAGGGGGCUAGCGUUAUCCGGAAUUACUGGGCGUAAAGGGUGCGUAGGUGGUUUCUUAAGUCAGAGGUGAAAGGCUACGGCUCAACCGUAGUAAGGCUUUGAAACUGGUAAACUUGAGUUCAGGAGAGGAGAGUGGAAUUCCUAGUGUAGCGGUGAAAUGCGUAGAUAUUAGAAGGAACACCGAUUGCGAAGGCGGCUCUCUGGACUAUUACUGACGCUGAGGCACGAAAGCGUGGGGAGCAAACAG
rnacentral:rRNA from 1 species